UACGUAGGGUGCAAGCGUUGUCCGGAAUUAUUGGGCGUAAAGAGCUCGUAGGCGGUCUGUCGCGUCGGCUGUGAAAACUCGGGGCUCAACCCCGAGCCUGCAGUCGAUACGGGCAGACUAGAGUUCGGUAGGGGAGACUGGAAUUCCUGGUGUAGCGGUGAAAUGCGCAGAUAUCAGGAGGAACACCGGUGGCGAAGGCGGGUCUCUGGGCCGAUACUGACGCUGAGGAGCGAAAGCGUGGGGAGCGAACAGG
rnacentral:rRNA from 1 species